CCUACGGGAGGCUGCAGUAGGGAAUCUUUCACAAUGGGCGAAAGCCUGAUGGAGCAACGCCGCGUGCAGGAUGAAGGCCUUCGGGUUGUAAACUGCUUUUAUAAGCGAGAAAUAUGAUGGUAACUUAUGAAUAAGGAUCGGCUAACUACGUGCCAGCAGCCGCGGUCAUACGUAGGAUCCGAGCAUUAUCCGGAGUUACGGGGUGUAAAGGGUUGCGUAGGUGGCAUAUGAAGUAGCUAGUGAAAUCUGGUGGCUCAACCAUUCAGACUAUUAGCUAAACUGUUAAGCUAGAGACCGUUAGGGGUAACUGGAAUUUCUAGUGUAGGAGUGAAAUCCGUAGAUAUUAGAAGGAACACCAAUGGCGUAGGCAGGUUACUGGGACGGUUCUGACACUAAGGCACGAAAGCGUAGGGAGCAAACGGGAUUAGAUACCCUUGUAGUC
rnacentral:rRNA from 1 species